GACAGGAGGAUGCAAGCGUUAUCCGGAAUGAUUGGGCGUAAAGCGUCUGUAGGUGGCUUUUUAAGUCCGCCGUCAAAUCCCAGGGCUCAACCCUGGACAGGCGGUGGAAACUACCAAGCUGGAGUACGGUAGGGGCAGAGGGGAUUUCCGGUGGAGCGGUGAAAUGCGUAGAGAUCGGAAAGAACACCAACGGCGAAAGCACUUUGCUGGGCCGAAACUGACACUGAUAGACGAAAGCUAGGGGAGCAAAUGGG
rnacentral:rRNA from 1 species